GAACGAGACCUUUGGGUCUAGUGGCGCACGGGGUGCGUAACGCGUGGGAAUCUACCCUUUGCUACGGAAUAAUUCAGAGAAAUUUGUGCUUAAUACCGUAUGAUGUCGAAAGACCAAAGAUUUAUCGGCAAAGGACGAGCCCGCGUAGGAUUAGCUAGUUGGUGUGGUAAAGGCGCACCAAGGCGACGAUCCUUAGCUGGUCUGACAGGAUGAUCAGCCCCUGGGACUGAGACCCGGCCCAGACUCCUACGGGAGGCAGCAGUGGGGAAUAUUGGACAAUGGGCGAAAGCCUGAUCCAGCAAUGCCGCGUGAGUGAUGAAGGGUUUCGGCUCGUAAAACUCUGUUAUUAGGGAAGAACAAAUGUGUAAGUAACUGUGCACGUCUUGACGGUACGUAUC
rnacentral:rRNA from 1 species